AUUGAACGCUGGCGGCAUGCUUUACACAUGCAAGUCGAACGGUAACAGGCCGCAAGGUGCUGACGAGUGGCGAACGGGUGAGUAAUGCAUCGGAACGUGAACAGUCGGGGGGGAUAACGCAGCGAAAGCUGUGCUAAUACCGCAUACGAUCUGUGGAUGAAAGCGGGGGACCGUAAGGCCUCGCGCGAUUGGAGCGGUCGGUGUCACAUUAGGUAGUUGGUGGGGUAAGGGCUCACCAAGCCGACGAUCUGUAGCGGGUCUGAGAGGACGACCAACCACACGGGAACUGAGACACGGCCCAGACUCCUACGGGAGGCAGCAGUGGGUAAUUUUGGACAAUGGGCGCAAGCCUGAUCCAGCAAUGCCGCGUGCAGGAAGAAGGCCUUCGGGUUGUAAACGGCUUUUGUACGGAGCGAAAAGGCUCUCUCUAAUACAGGUGGCUCAUGACGGUACCGUAAGAAUAAGCACCGGCUAACUACGUGCCAGCCGCCGCGGUAAGAC
rnacentral:rRNA from 1 species